GAUGAACGCUGGCGGCGUGCCUAAUACAUGCAAGUCGAGCGAACGGACGAGAAGCUUGCUUCUCUGAUGUUAGCGGCGGACGGGUGAGUAACACGUGGAUAACCUACCUAUAAGACUGGGAUAACUUCGGGAAACCGGAGCUAAUACCGGAUGAUAUUUUGAACCGCAUGGUUCAAAAGUGAAAGACGGUCUUGCUGUCACUUAUAGAUGGAUCCGCGCUGCAUUAGCUAGUUGGUAAGGUAACGGCUUACCAAGGCAACGAUGCAUAGCCGACCGGGGAGGGUGAUCGGCCACCCUGGAACUGAGACACGGUCCAGACUCCUACGGGAGGCAGCAGUAGGGAAUCUUCCGCAAUGGGCGAAAGCCUGACGGAGCAACGCCGCGUGAGUGAUGAAGGUCUUCGGAUCGUAAAACUCUGUUAUUAGGGAAGAACAUAUGUGUAAGUAACUGUGCACAUCUUGACGGUACCUAAUCAGAAAGCCACGGCUAACUACGUG
rnacentral:rRNA from 1 species